AGUAGGCACACACAUUUGAUAUGUUGCUGUGGUUCUCCAUGGACCAGUGGAAUCACCUGGAAACCUACUAGAUGUGCAAAAUCGUAAGCCACGCUCUUGACCUACUGCAUCAGGAAAUAGGCGGGAAUCAACAUCCCAGAGAGAGGAACGUGGAGAUGUGUCAGACGGUCUGUGGAGAAGCCCCUCUCCUUUCACAUUCUCUCUUCUCGGUCCACAAGUUGUGAUUUCAGUGCCCGAGAAGUAUGGGAAUACUCAUGUUGGAAGCUUUUGACAAUCUUAUUUCUCCACUCAAAUCCACGUGCCUAGGGGCGCCCUAGAGUGUACCCCAGCCGGCAACACCAGCCUUGCCUCUGCGUCUCCUGGGUCAUAUGGUGUCCGCUGCACUCAUGCCAGCAUACAUCAGAAUGAACCUCCAAGAACUGCUCCCCAGGUUGCUUACUCAAAUACUUAAUCUGAACAGUGGAGGCAAAGCAAUGUACCUUAGAUCUGGAUUUUUUCCUGGGGUCGCCAGUGCUGGAUGUUGCUAAAAACAAGACUUCUGAACAUCACCUUACAAGCAAGGUCACAUGUGAUUUUGGUGUGGAGCUCACAGCAGCAGGUGGAUUUCUGUGGUUGGGAUAAAGUGUCCGGAGCAACGUCAUACAGAGACCUACACAGCACAGCUGUCGGUGAAUAUCAUGUGCUCCCCAGAAAACCGCUAGAUGACCGGAAGUGUGGUUCUAGUGGCAGAAAAGACACUGUUGUAGAAGACCCUGGGGAGGGUCGGGAUAAAAGAGAUUCAAGGAG